GCUGGGCGUAGUGGUGUGCGCCUGUAAUCCUAGCUAGGGAAGCUGAGGCAGGAGAAUUGCUUGAACCCGGGAGGUGGGGAUUGCAGUGAGCUGAUUGCACCACUGCACUCCAGCCUGGGUGACAGAGCAAGACUCCAUCUCUA
ensembl:misc_RNA Metazoa_SRP Metazoan signal recognition particle RNA